rnacentral:rRNA from 1 species
AUUGAACGCUGGCGGCAGGCCUAACACAUGCAAGUCGAACGGUAACAGGAAGAAGCUUGCUUCUUUGCUGACGAGUGGCGGACGGGUGGGUAAUGUCUGGGAAACUGCCUGAUGGAGGGGGAUAACUACUGGAAACGGUAGCUAAUACCGCAUAACGUCGCAAGACCAAAGAGGGGGACCUUCGGGCCUCUUGCCAUCGGAUGUGCCCAGAUGGGAUUAGCUAGUAGGUGGGGUAACGGCUCACCUAGGCGACGAUCCCUAGCUGGUCUGAGAGGAUGACCAGCCACACUGGAACUGAGACACGGUCCAGACUCCUACGGGAGGCAGCAGUGGGGAAUAUUGCACAAUGGGCGAAAGCCUGAUGCAGCCAUGCCGCGUGUAUGAAGAAGGCCUUCGGGUUGUAAAGUACUUUCAGCGGGGAGGAAGGGAGUAAAGUUAAUACCUUUGCUCAUUGACGUUACCCGCAGAAGAAGCACCGGCUAACUCCGUG